GUGGGGAAUAUUGGACAAUGGGCGAAAGCCUGAUCCAGCAAUGCCGCGUGAGUGAUGAAGGCCUUAGGGUUGUAAAGCUCUUUUACCCGGGAUGAUAAUGACAGUACCGGGAGAAUAAGCUCCGGCUAACUCCGUGCCAGCAGCCGCGGUAAUACGGAGGGAGCUAGCGUUGUUCGGAAUUACUGGGCGUAAAGCGCACGUAGGCGGCUUUGUAAGUUAGAGGUGAAAGCCUGGAGCUUAACUCCAGAACUGCCUUUAAGACUGCAUCGCUUGAAUCCAGGAGAGGUGAGUGGAAUUCCGAGUGUAGAGGUGAAAUUCGUAGAUAUUCGGAAGAACACCAGUGGCGAAGGCGACUCACUGGCCCAAUACUGACGCUGAGGCGCGAAAGCGUGGGGAGCAAACAGGAUUAGAAACCCCGGUAGUCC
rnacentral:rRNA from 1 species